rnacentral:misc_RNA from 1 species
GGAUGAAGAACGCAGCGAAAUGCGAUAAGUAAUGUGAAUUGCAGAAUUCAGUGAAUCAUCGAAUCUUUGAACGCACAUUGCGCCCGCCAGUAUUCUGGCGGGCAUGCCUGUCCGAGCGUCAUUUCAACCAUCAAGCCCCCGGGCUUGUGUUGGGGACCUGCGGCUGCCCGCAGGCCCUGAAAACCAGUGGCGGGCUCGCUGUCACACCGAGCGUAGUAGCAAUCACCUCGCUCAGGGCGUGCUGCGGGUUCCGGCCGUUAAACAGCCUUACAAAACCCAAGGUUGACCUCGGAUCAGGUAGGAAGACCCGCUGAACUUAAGCAUAUCAAUAAGCGGAGGA